CAAUAGCGUAUAUUAAAGUUGUUGCAGUUAAAAAGCUCGUAGUUGGAUUUCUGGUUUCGAUACUUGGUCCUUUAGUUAAUUCUAUUGUGUACUUUAGUGUUGAUCCAUUUUUGUGAGAUGUUUAUCUGGCAUUAAGUUGUUGGGUAAAUGAUCUUGCAUCUUUUACUGUGAAAAAAUUAGAGUGCUCAAAGCAGGCCCGCCGCCUGAAUAGUGGUGCAUGGAAUAAUGGAAUAGGACGUCAGUUCUAUUUGUUGGUUCGGAAUUUGACGUAAUGAUUAAGAGGGACAGACGGGGGCAUUCGUAUUGCUACGUUAGAGGUGAAAUUCUUGGAUCGUAGCACGACGAACAACUGCGAAAGCAUUUGCCAAGAAUGUUUUCAUUAA
rnacentral:rRNA from 1 species